CUGUCGUUGCUGCAUUUAGUUAGAAUCCACGCUGGACUUUAUUUCGCCUGCUGGCGAGCGGUAUCAUUGCGCUUGCUCUGAGGUGUGGAAGGUAGGAUUUGAGGGACUGAUGAAUUCUUUUUUCAUUGGAGUUGAGUUUGGGGAACUGCUGAUAAGAUCUCUAAAACAACUAUUUUUUCUCGUUGAGAGUUAGAAAAGG
rnacentral:lncRNA from 1 species